CACCUGAUAGCAUAAGGUGUGCAUUUGCGUGGUUUAGAUGUUGGGAGCGUUGUAAGCAGAGGGUCCCCGUUCGAUUCGGGGUCGGGUGA